CGCACGGGUGCGUAACGCGUGGGAAUCUGCCCUUGGGUUCGGAAUAACAGCUAGAAAUGGCUGCUAAUACCGGAUGAUGACGUAAGUCCAAAGAUUUAUCGCCCAAGGAUGAGCCCGCGUAGGAUUAGCUAGUUGGUGAGGUAAAGGCUCACCAAGGCGACGAUCCUUAGCUGGUCUGAGAGGAUGAUCAGCCACACUGGGACUGAGACACGGCCCAG
rnacentral:rRNA from 1 species